rnacentral:lncRNA from 1 species
UGGACAUGAUGUAUAUAAAGGAUAUGAUAUGACGAUGUAUGUAAAGAGUUAAUGAAAAGCUAGAGGAUGGAAAGUAUAGUAUGUUUUGUGAUGUAUAGAGUUGUGCUUGACCCUAGAGUUGGUUGAUCCCUUGGUUUACAUGAUCUUAAGAAAAUGUCUUGAUGUUAAAGAGUUAAAGGUUUUCAUGAUGUGAAAUGUUUUAAUGUUAUGAGAUUUGA